UACGUAGGGUGCAAGCGUUGUCCGGAAUUAUUGGGCGUAAAGAGCUCGUAGGCGGUCUGUCGCGUCGGCUGUGAAAACUCGGGGCUCAACCCCGAGCCUGCAGUCGAUACGGGCAGACUAGAGUUCGGUAGGGGAGACUGGAAUUCUCGGUGUAGCGGUGAAAUGCGUAGAUAUCGUAAGGAAGACCAGUGGCGAAGGCGGGUCUCUGGACAGUUCCUGACGCUGAGGCACGAAGGUCAGGGGAGCAAACGGG
rnacentral:rRNA from 1 species